AGUACAUUCUCCAACAACAGAAGCAAGUCUUACAGAAAAAUUGGCCCCAGGUGCCGCCACUGGCUCAGUGAGUCCAGAUGCGGAGCAAUGUUCAGUUGCUGUGCCAGUGGCAAAAAUAUCACCAACUCGUAGAGAUCUGCACACAAAUGACGUGUCUCUCUUGGCUAUGGCUGCGACUUUGGAUGCCAUUGGUGAGAGACUAAGGGAUCAAAAAGCACGCAACCAAGAGAUUAUUGAUCGACUUAACGAAAUCGAAAAAAUCUUGAACAAACCCAAGUAGUAGUUAAUGUACAAUGUUAAAUAGUUAAAAGAAUAAAGCGCAUCGAAAUAUAAA